rnacentral:sRNA from 1 species
UACACAUCCUCAAUUCCUUCUCCUUCGC